rnacentral:lncRNA from 1 species
AUGUAUGUUUGUUAUUUAUUGCAGUUUCAGAAGCUGCAAAUGAGAUUACACGCUGACCAAGUCAUGCUGGAACAAGUACAACAGGAGAACCAGUGCCUGAAUCAGCAAGUUGCCCAUCUGACGGCUGCAUUUAUGGCACUGCAGAAAAUGGCCAGAUCUUCCCUACUUCGGGCCAUCCCCAGGCCUUUGGUUCUUCCCAGAAGAAGAAAGAAACCAUUGGACCUCAUCCAGCAAAGCGAUGCCUUUCCUCAACAGCACAAGAGAGCAUGGACUCUUUUGACAAGGAUGGACCCUUUGGACAAGAAUGGGCUGGACAAUGUUCAGCUUUCAAACAUUAAGGUGUGAACAAACCAUAGUGGGGGUGAGGAAGAAAGGCUGGAAGAGGGAUUUCUGAGACCGAGGGUAAGAACUGAGGUAGCUGGUGUCUGCUUUCUGACACAGCUGGAAGGCCUAUGUAAAAUGCUGCAGUCAUGUCACUUGUCCCCUCAAAGUUACAAUAUUGUAAUUGAAAAAUAAAAAAGCACUGAAUGUUUUUAAUUUCCUUUAU